CGUGGUGAUAGAUCAGACUGGCGAGAGACGCCAGGUGCUAGAAGCAAACGAUCGGUCAAACUUCUCUCUCGAGAUGACGACGGCGACGAAUGCACUUCACACGACGGCGUUCUACAUGACACACGCGGUUCUCAUGACUUAACAAGAACGCCUCCAGGUGCACAUCCCGUACAUCGCACAUACGUGUACAUCCGACACUGCAGAGCCACUGAAAGCAGCGCCGAGGUUAGGCUAUCGUAGUGGGGACACCUGUUCGACAUCCGUAGCAGCACUUUCUACGUUCUGACGGCGGUGCGUGGCCUCCCGAUAUCGAUAGUGGCCACGAUCGCCGAUAUACGCACUAUCGAGAACUCCCGUCGACCGAAUCGAGAUUUAUCGGACGCGAACAAUUGAAGUCUUCGACUCCAUUCACAUUCGACUCGUUCUCAUUGAUUCCACUAAGACGAUCGGCGCACCUCUUGUGACUGCUACUGGAAUUAUUGUAGUCGUUUCUGUUCGAAUCGUAUGUAGGUCAGUAAUGAAGUUUGAAAACAUUCAGGCAUAAAUAAAUUUUUAUAAAUCGAUUAUUUCGAACAUAAAAAAAUGAGAAAGAUAAAUUAUACAUAUAAUAUCAAAUGGAGUUGUCAAUAAGGGAUUCCUACGUCUUACAUUUGGUUAAGAUUUUAAUAUCGCAUAUUUACGAAAUUUCGUUUCAUCGUUUAUAUAGCCGUUUUUAAACGCUGAAUAGGAUUAAAUGUAUCACAAAGAUAA